CAGCGUGCAUUGGGGUGCUCUCCGAGCAUAGCAGAGAAUGGUGACACUCUUUGGAGAACUCGGAAAUCUUCCUCUCCCGUUCAUGCUUCAUCUGCCACCUUCAAGACAAAACACUGCGAAUUCAUCUUUGUGCCUGCUCUGCAGAGCAGAAUGUUGACACAGUUUUUGUAGAAUGCCCAGCUAGUUCUCAAAAGACAGGAAGACAGGCAAACCCUUUGGAAUAACCACUGAGACCAAACCAUGCAGGAGACGUCAGGACACGCCAACACUCUCCUGCUUCAGCCCAGUUAUGGAUCAGGAUUCCAAGAGGAAAGAAGGAAUUAUCAUCUGUCCUCAGGGAGCAAAAGAAACUCAGAUGUGAGCAAAAGCAGGAAGAGACACACCCCCCUCAUAACUGACCAAUUCAAUUGUAACCUGGAAAGCACUGGGCAGUGUGUUCAACAGAGAACUCAACCAAAAUGGAUGACUUAGAGGCUCCCCCAGGCAGGCAAUCCUGAGGCGACGUAGCUUCUGUAUACAAGGGAUGUCUUCUCAGGCUGGAGGCAGACAUCAAUACCUGAUGGUAUCCAGGAAGGAUGCAGGACAUGGCUACUUCCCAAAUGCCUCUGCCUCUGGGAGGGGGCCCGCCUUGGAAGUCCCUGAGCUUGUCUGAUUAGAACAAUAGAAACGCUGGUGUUCUAUGCCCAUCCCCAACCUAGCUCCUAACUACGGCUAAUGGAACCGUUAGAUCGGACAUAGGCUAGUCUAUGGGAGAAGAAUGGCUUUCUGAGCAAAACACUGGUGUGCUUAGAGAAGGUUUGGGAUCAACAAGAACACAGCUAAAGUGAACAUUCAAUUCGAGGAGGUCAAAUCAAGCCGGAAUCCUGGAGCUCACAGCAAGAACCCAGCAGAGCAGACUUGGCUCUGGGAGGGCAUAGCCUUGGACUAGCCACCACGACUGCACUUCUUGGACAGCUUGCGUGAGUUGACAGUUCCCGUCCCCAGAUCCCCAAAUGUCUUACUCUGCGGUUCUAGGGUUCAAGGGCGGAAGCUGCUGAGAUAAUUACAUGGUAGGGAAGGACCCCUCAGAGGCAUAACCUCAGCAAGUUACAUGGGCCGUGGAGAUGUUUGAUUUGACCCUUGACCCUUCACUUUGUGGAGGCCAGGAAUGGCUCAAUGGCUUGGGAAGUUCGCUAUGUGAUAAUUAUGCUAGUUUCCGUAGCAGCAGCAUUCAUCAUGUGAGCAUAGAAUAAUCUCCUGUGACAAGACCGCUACUUCUGCUCCUCACCUGUGAGGUGUGGAAGCUGAGGGGCCGGGAGCCCAUUAGCCAGGUUCUGAAGUUUGCGCUUGAAUGUGCCCAUUCCAGGUGUACUUCAUUGUCUACCCACAUUUCUGCAUCGUGCAAGCCACACCUGCCCUGGCCUUACCAUUCGCUUGGGUUACACAUGGCUUCACCUCAUUCCUAGCAGGCCAGACAAUAGACCGUCAAGCCAUUUAUCUGUGUCCUGGGCUAGAGAGAACUUCCAAAAGGAGGCUGGAAGUGAACCUCUGUUAGGAUGUGCUCUGUCUAGCAUGUUUGGCCCUGUUCUCUCCCGGGAUGAUCUGGAUCAAGGAGAUUCACAUUGUGCUUAUCUGACCUCUGUUUGUUUUCCCAGGAUUCUAGACCCAGCCCAUCCGCCAUUUUUUCCAGCUAAUGCUCUGAAGGACUGCAUCCAGACAGCAUUCUGUGGGCUCCAAGCGCCUUUCUCUUCUCUCCACUCUUGCUGGCAGGAGGGAAUAUUCAGGCGCUCAAAAUAAUUGCACAAGACCAGAUGCCCAAUGUCCUUGUGUCUCAGUAACUUCUCAGGCACUCAAACUCAACUGCAGCCCUGGAUGCUGAGGGUACCUGGCAGGCCAUCCAUGUCUCCAGCAGGGUGGACUUAGCUUCUCUGGAGCAGUGAAGACCGGCCUCAAACAAACAUGGAAAGUUACAGUGAACCCAGCCCCUGGGGCCCUUGCCACCCAGCUGGGGCAGCUUAGGAAGCCAGAU